rnacentral:lncRNA from 1 species
GUCGAUUCCAUGUAACUUCAUAUGGAAAUCGAUGGCUUUGAAAUGUCUGCUAGGAUCGAUCCUAAAAACGAAUAUCUCUCUAUAGGUUUAUACCUGGAGACUCAGUUCACCGUGCGUAACAGAAUAUGUUUUAGUACGUAGAGAAGAAUGAACGUACUAGGCUACUUUUUUCAUGUGAGAGUAAUAGAUCAUGUUUGUCGUUUUAAUUAAAAGUAAAAUGAUACAGAAAUACGAAAAUGUCGUUUAAAUGAAUUUGCCAGUCAAGCGAAGCGAAAAGUCUAAAUCCCUUUGGUAUAGUUCUCAACACAAACUACAUUACUUUAAACUCUGGAUUUUAAAGACAUUGAAAGCAGAGUGGAUUAUCCAAAACAAAAAUUUAAAUCGUCAGUCAAUAAACGGUAUACAUGGAGGAUACAUGGGAAUAUGUCGGGUAGAAUGAAUUAUAUUAAACGAUUUAGAGGAUAGAUAUCAUUGUAUGGAAUUAAAACAAUGGGAGUAUAUUAAAUGUCUUAAUAUUAUAUUCAAUCAAUUGGAAAUAUUAAAUAAUAAAAGAAGUGAUCAGAUCAGGCGGGCUCACAAAAACAGUUAACGCUGGACCGACAUGAGGGCUCAACUUGAACCUAUAUAGAUAUGUGGAAAAAUUUGGAUUUAUUAAAAUAUUCGAAAAAUGUUGUCUUAUUAGGUAAGUUUUGUUUUGUUGGUAAGAUUGUUCUGUGUGUCUUGUUUUUGUUGUAUACUGACACUUUAUCAUGUCGAAUUUCGUUGGUUCUUUCCGGGUACUUCCUCCACCGAAAUAAAAUCUGUCCGAAAAGGUGUAGCCAUGAGUACCGCAAGUGGAGUUUAACCCCAACACUCGAUCAGCAAUCAAUUGUACACUCUGAUAACGGGAGAAAAACGAAUAACGACUCGUACAAGAUAAUAGAGCAUAAAACAUUAAAAUGUUGUUAACCUAACUAAUUAUACUUACAGGGUCAUUAUAGUUAUAUGUUUGCAUUAAUCAUUUUCAAAUCUGCUUGUGUUUUCAUUAUGACAUAACUGAAGUAAGGUCAAUCUUAGCUAUGUUAUAAAUUAAAAAGAUUACAAGACGUAAAAAUGUAAAAUUUGUCGUAUAGUUUUAUCAUAAACCGUUUUUUAUUCUAGUUUUCGUUAGUAGUGUGGGAGAGCAGUUGAUACUGCUCAUUCAAAAUCACCACUGUCUUGCUAUCAAUAAUACCUUAACACAAACACAAGAACACAGAAAAUAUUUGUUUUGACUUAUGUUUGGUGAUAAAACGAAUUCUUAUGCAGAAAAAUAUGCAUAGCGAAAAACUGUUUCUAUUAACAUGACAGUUACAACAGAUUCAAUUAACCUGAAAUACCAUCACCCAUUAACAUUUCAAAUUACAAUUGUAUUUACGUCAUAGAUUAUAUUUUUUUACUGCUGUGUUAAUGUCCACGAUUAAUAAAUGUAUUUUAAGUUCCAGUGUAAAUAUCAAAAUCAAAAUCCAUUUUAAUCACAUUAUAAAUGAAUUUAAUUCUUGUAUUCACAGUUAAGUCCUGAAGACUAUAAGUAUGAUUUGUAUCCUAUUUCAUAGAAAUAUUUAACAAGAUUUUCUUGUGAAAUCGCAAAAAAUAGGGCAGUUUAAAUGUACUUUUUAUAUACACAUAUUUGAAUAAGAUUUUAAAAAGAGGAUUAACGCCGAAAAGAUAAAAAUAUAAUGUACUUAAAGUGCUAAGACUAUAUAAUUGAAGACAUAAUUAGUGAAAUUUGUAUUUUUGAUCCUAGUAUAUUUGUUUUACGGAUAAGGUAUAUUUGUCCUGGUUUGAAUUUUUGAUCUCGAAUUUGUUUAGGGGUGGGAUGAAAGACAUGGAGUAUUUUUACCAGAUUAUUUUAAUUAUAACUUUUGUUUUCUCAAUAUUUACUGUUAAAACCAUCUACUGAAAUAUAAACAGCUUAUCAGGGCAUUUUUGUAAGCCAUUAGUAGAUUCAGAAAUAAGAACUAAAUGAUCCGAACAUAACAGACAUGAAAUAUCAAUAUCACUUAACUUAGGUUGUUAACGCAUGUGGAGUCAAAAAAGGGGGAGAAUUUUAAUAUAUAAAGAAAAUAAAGUGGGGCUCAGAUACAUUUUUUUUUUUUACUCAGCUGUCUAAUUAAAAAAAACAGUAACACCUUCAGAGAUCUUCACCGAGUACCAAACCUCUUUCUACAUAUCUCUCAUUAUACGUUAGAAGUGAUAUUGGACAACACUUUUAAAACUUUAAAUUUCAUUUUUUUUUUAUAUAUCCUUAGAAAGAUACCUUAAAAUUGAAUUGGAAUUUUUGUAUUCUGAUUAAAUUCAAUCCUCUUCUAUUUCUGUUGCCUUUCUGUACGACGUAAAUACCAUCGACGAAAAGCUACUAUCUGACUAUCAAUUAUACAAAGUCUAUUAAAGAUCCUUAGAUAUAAUCAACCAAAAAGGCUACCAAUAGAUAUGAUUCAUGUGUGUGUAUAGCGUGUAAAACUUUUGAUAAUAUUAGUCCUUGAACGACAGAAUUCUUUUCUUUUCCUUCUUAUUCAAUAGAUAAUGAUUCAGGUUAUUCUGUUGCAUGUGUGCUCGCGUUUAUCUUCCCCAUAGUGAAAGACUUGUAAAAUUGAACUUCAACUAUAGCAAAACAAUAACGAUUAUGUAGAAUUCAUUUAUCAAAAAAUUGACAUUGACACUGACAAAGGAAGGCCCAGCUAUCGGUUUUUAACUGUUUUUAAAGUACUUUGGAUAUUAAAAUAUCAUGAAUACAACUAUACACAACUAUGAGCAUUUAAUUUGUCAAAACCCGACGUGAACUGUGUAUUUUAAGAGUUAUUUGGUUUUAUAAUAUGUAUUAUUGUCCGUGAUUUAAACAAAUUGGUUUGAUUAUUGAUGUAGAUAAAUGUUGUAGAUAAUGCAUUGAGAAGCCUUUUUACAAUAAAAAUGAAAAGGUUUUGAAAGGUUACGUAUAAGUUCAAACUAUUAAACAUACUUAAGUAUUAGAUAAGGUGGGUUUUUUUUUUUUUUCUUUUUUCAAUGAAACAAAGAUUUUUUAAUCCGUUUGUAUAUUUUGAAAGUUUUUAUAAACAAGAAACUGGAUGUAAUUCCAAUGUUCCCAUAGGUGAGAGUCUGGACGGGCUUCUUGUAUUAUGAAGAUGUGGUAUGAGUGCCAAUGAGACAACUUUCCAUCCAAAUAACAAUUUAUAAAAGUAAACCAUUAUAGGUCAAUGUACACUUUAUUUUUAAGACCAUUUUUCUUUUUUCUUUGUAUACUUUUUGUCUCUUAUUCUUUAUAUUCAUACAUCUCAUUAUUUUCUAUUCUUUAUUUUUUUUUUUUGCCAUGUUUCUCUAUUCUUUAUUGUUUUAGUCCUUUAAUAUCUAUUCCGUAAACCUCAAUCUGCACCCUCAUAGAUUCUUUGAGUAAAAUAUACUACCAUGUAUAGUGAUGAACAUUUUACAUAUAUUAACCGGUCCUCAAUACUGAUGCACGUCUUUUGAACUAAUUUUUCUAGCUUGAAAAUUUUUCAUAAAAACUGUUAUUUUUACCCCGACGUUUUUACUUAAGCAGUCACAUUUAUUUUAUACUUCUUUUGACAUAUAAAGAUAAAGUAUUUCGCUGUAAUAAUAAUAGAUAAAAUAAAAAAUUAGGGUUGCUUAAAACAGACAGUUAAAACGUAGACAAAAAAUCUUAUAUUUAGAUAACGAUAUUAAGACGCUUAAAACAUUAAAACUGUACACUAUGAUUCGUUGUUAAUUGCUUAAACGUCCGUUGACAAAUAUUUCAUAAAAAGUCAAGACAAGAAGAAGUUCAUCAAUUCGUAGUUCAUUAAUAUUGUUGGACUUUGAGAAAUCUUGAAUAGUCAUGAUCAGUCAUGGGUAAAUUGGAAAGAUUAAAAAUCAAAUUCUGUAGACCACUAAAAGGACUUGAUGAAAGUAGCAUUCUCCGAAAACAUGCAUUGUGAUUUUGUCUUCUGUAAAUUGAAAAACAACACUAUAUCCUUGGGAAAUUAUUCAUUCCGUACAAACUUCACACUACCUUUUAUCAAAAAUAUAUCAUUUACCGGUUAACAGCUUUUGUGAUGCUAAAUGAGCUGUAAAAAGAACUGUGAAACGUUUUCAAAAAGAUACAUGCGAGCACUGAUUAAUAAAACGAUCAAAGCAUUUAUCCGAGCACAAAUUUAUAAAAUGAUCAAAGCAUUUAUGAAAUUAAUUGGACAGUACUGGAAAUGCAAUGUCAAGUUAUUAUAUAAUUGUUCGAUAAGAAAUUCCCACUGAGAUUUUAAUACGGGCUAAAUGUUUUAUCAUUUUAUUUCACUAUACAGUUUAAAUAUCUGCAUUACUUAAAUUGAAAUUGGUAAAAAUUGAUUCCAUUAGGAAAUGAAGCUUUGAAUUACAUUCUAGACACGGAAAAAUCAAUGCUAAUUUCAAUAUUUCUAUUUCCAAUUAUUCAUCGAUGAUUUAAUCUAAUUGUCAAAUUAGUACAGCAAGUUGAAAAUUGACACAAUAAAAUGAUUAUUGAAAAAAAUCUUUUCAUUUUUAUUUAUAUGAAAUUACGAAAGAAUUGGUUUCAAAAGGCACAUAUUGUUUCAAUAGGCGAAUAACAUUUUAUACUAUUGAUAGUGUUGAUACUGAUCAGUGGAUCUCAUGUUAAUGGACAUAAAUAUUAAUUUUCAAUGUAAAAUAAUAACGGUAUCUUUGCAAUAUCAAUGUGUUACUCUGAUCUAUAUGAUUUUUAGUAUGCCCAUGUGUAUUUCAACCUUCUCGGUGUCUCUUGGUAGCGUGCUCGCUUUGAGUGCAAUUAGUUACCAUAAUUUAAAAAAAAUGUUAUCUGCUGCUUCGACGCCGAGUAUGACAUUUAGAAUUAAGAGCUAUGACUAGUAGGGUCUGCGUCAGAAUAACGUGUCCCAGUAAAGUAGCAUUGCUUUUAUACGCACUCUUUUCAUUGGUUGCUUAUAAACUUUGACGUUAGACACAAUGCACGGUCCAUCUUCAUAUCGUAUCAACAAGUUUUAGUUGGAUAUGCAUUUGAAAUAUUUACCACUGGACGUUUACAAUCUAUCCGUCAUCCUUUCUUGUGUUAUUCUGAUUUAUAGGAUUAUAGUAGAUCUUUGUUAAAGUUUUCCCUCCAUUACGAAUGACAUUAUUACCUUUCAAGUUGAGAUGUAUUUACUGAUCCGAUUAGCUAGUAAAAUAAAUUUCUAAAAGGAAUUUUCAAUGUUUUCUUUUUAUUUGAUUAGGAAUUUGAUGCAAUUAUUUCAUUCACUAGAAAAACAAACACUGUUUUACUCCCGGUAUUAAUACGUGUGGAACCAGUUUAGCCCAAUACAUAAUUAGUUUCCAAUUAUACCUGGCCAUAUACUAGUAAUAUCAUCAACUGGUUCUUGGGGGUAAAGAAAAUACCUUGUCAUCUAAUAUCAACAACUCCGGGUUUCUCGGGGGGUAAAGAAAAUACCUUGUCAUAUAAUAUCAUCUACUGUUUUCCCGGGGUAUAGCAAAUACUGAUCAAAGAAACUAGGCUUAUUCGUUAGAUCAUGGAAGUAUUAUAGUCAAUAUAAUACUUCCAUGGUUAGAUGUAUGUUCACUUGUGUUAAUGUGUCUUUUGGUUGAGUUAAGCCAUUUCAAUUGAUUUUUUAUAGUGUUUCUCUAUGUUGUACUGUUACACUAUUGUUUCAGAUAAGGGUGAAGGUUGGUACCUGUCAAAACGUAUAAUCCCGCUCCAUGUGUUGCACCUUUCCUAAUUCAGGAAUCUGACGUUCAGUAGUUGUCGUUUGUUGAUGUGAUAAGUGUUUCUCGUAACUCGUUUUUAAUAUAAAUUAGAUCGUUUGGUUACCCGUUUGAAUUGUUUUACACUAGUCAUUUUUGUGGCCCUUUAUAGCUUGCUGUUCGAUGUGAGCCAAGGCUCCGUUUUGAAGACCGUAUUUUUUCCUAUAAUGGUUUACUUUUACAAAUUGUGACUUAGAUGGGGAGUUUCCAUUGGCACUCAUACCACAUCAUCUUAUAUCUAUUAUCCUCUUAUAUCUAUUAUAAUUUUGUACGCAAGAAAUAUGGCCAAUUAGACCCAAAUGAUAUGAUAUUCAAUUUGUUCUUCUUUCAAAGUUUGUAUUAAAUAUUUUAAAACAACUAUAAAUCAUCUAAAACAUUCAAGUAAAUAUGACAUCAAAAUUUAAAAGGGCUAAUAGAUGACAUCCAAAUAAAUUGCAUAUGAAUCAAAAGAAACUGAAAAAUAUAUGUUCACGGUAUGGUAUUUGUUUUUUGUUUUGCUUUUUCCAAUCAUAUUGUGUUGUAAAAUGAUGCCCUUUAUGGGUUCUUGGUUAGAUUAUGCGGAUAAAACAAAACAAUUAUUCAACAUGACAAUUAAUGUCAAUGACGAAUAACAUUUUUAAAUCUGUUGAUAUACAAAAGCACCAGUUGAAUAAAUUCUUCCCACCCAGUCAACUCACAAUUUACGUUAAAUCAUCAGGAAUACAGUGCAUAUCUAAUCACCGAAAGUUUACUCAGUCUGUACUGCAUCUUGGUGAAACAGGCUUGAUAAUUAUAUUUUACUGUUGAUAUCGUAUUACUUUGAAAGAAAAUUUUAAAUCAAAUGGAGUGAAAGUCUAAUUUCAUAACUGUCAAAAUAAUUGUUCGACGGAAUCAAAUUUUAAAAUCUGAUUCAUAAAAAGUAGAAACGUGUAUAUACCAUAAUGUAUAAACGGUAGAAAUAAAAAUUAAAAAAAACGGAUAGCAACGCCAAAACUCGACUAUAUAUUGUCCAAUAAAGCUUAAAUGUACUAUUAUUUGAAUAAGCUUUUAACAGUGGAACUUUAUCAAUUGUAAUACUAAUACACCAUGUUUUGAUAGUUGUGACGUGAUAAAGAUUGUUAAACAGAUGUAAUUCCACUCAUAUUUCUUUAAAUUUUAUAAAUGAGGUACCAAAAGAAAGAAGAAGGAUUAAUCUAUCAAAUUGUGAUAAUUUCAUUAUGACAUAAUUAUUACAUAAUUAAUUGUUAUUGUUAUUGUUGUUGGAACCCCCCCUUUUUUGCCGAUCAAUGCAUUUGAAUGGGAGCAUAUAGUUGGAACCCCCCCUUUACUCUGGGUUGGGACCCCCCUUUUUAAAAUGGCUGGAUCCGCCACUGUGUGACACAAUAAUAAAAUAGAUUAUUAUUAUCUUGAAUGAAUUUAGUUUCUUUGUUAUUCAUAGCGCUCUUUGAAAUCUUAUCUAAAGGCCCGUUGUCACUUUUAUCAUUUUCUUGUACAAGUUCUCUAGGUCAAGGUCAUUUGUGAGCUGCAUUUUAGUGACAAUUCAUUGAAGAAAAUAUUAUCAAAAAAUUUGACGGACUCGAAUGGAAUAGAUUAUCAUCUUAUUCUUUUCUUGAAACUUGGAUGGGCUUGGAUAGGAAUUAUUUAAUUACAGUGCAGGUUUUACUUUUACUAAGGUUUUGAUUAAAACCUUUGUUAUGUGACAACCGAUGACUUGAACCAAGUUUGCCGGACCAAAAUUUUCUUAAACAAGUUUUUGAUGAAAACUUUUGAUACAUACGAUUUUUAAAAUAUGACCAAGUUUACCUGGUGAAAGAAAACUUUUACCAAAUUAACGUUGAUGCUUUGACAUCACUGGUAUCAAAACAAAUAUGAUUACAAUGUAGUCUUUAAUUUAGGAUCGGGGGCUUUCAAUGAAAAAAUUAGAGACAAUACUACACGUCUGAAAGUUGUUCAAAUUGUAUCAUCCUGUUGAUUAAUGCAUUUUGUACGUUGUUCAGCGCGAGCUGUACCUUUACAACAUAUGGUAGAUAUAAGCAAAGGGCAAUUGUGUACGCACUUUUGAUUUAACUCCACCUCGUGUGUCCCUUUACCAAGACAUGUUGUGUUGUAUGCGUCGGUGAGGUCUUUUGCGUUGUCUAAAGUUUGGUAAAUACGUUUUUCUUCUCUGAAAAGUCGGAUUUAGGUGCAUGGUUGGGGUAGAUUUGUGCUGUGAAAUAUUUCUGAUAAUUCAUAUUGUUUGUCUUUGUGUGUCCAUUUUUUUUUUCUAAUUCUAUUUUUUCGUGAAAUUGGAUUUUGAUGGUUUGGAGUUUUCUUUUUUACUUUCAAAUAUAUUUGAUUCUUUGAAAGUCUGGGUUUGUUUUUUCAGAAAAUUCGGAUGUUGGUAUUUGGUGUAGUCUGUUGUGCUUGUCCAAUAUAACUGUUAAUUCUGUAAAUCUGUUUACGUGUUAUUAACGGUCACUGGAAAAAAAACUGACUAUUGCUUUAGAUUGAUAUCAAAAUGAGAAUUGACAAUAAAUUUCAGUGACAUAUGAAUACUCUUAUAAACUGAAUAGGUUUUAUUUUUACCGAAUCCUGGUUGAUCAAGUUUCAUCAAUAUAAAAAUAGGUUCAGCCAUAUUUUAUCAUAUACAGAUACAAACUAACAGUGGAAAACCCCUAUUCAGAGAAUUUAAUGUCUGUAUUACUUUGUAUACAGGUAUACAUAAUUCGUUAUUAUACGGAAGUUAUAUUAUCACUUUCAAACCAUCUGGGAUAUGAAAUGACCUUUUACGAGAAGUUUUUGUAUUCAGCAAAUCUAGUUUAUUAUCACACCGAAGACAUGUUAAAACCAAAAACUUGUAAAAACUCAUCAAUUAUAGAUUUUUUUUAAUUAUGUAAUAGAUAUAUGAUAUGGAAUUUUAUAAUACUUUGAAAAUAAGUCAUUAUUUAUGCAGAAAGAUCGAUAGCAAUUAUGGUUUCAAUUAAAAAAUAAACUAAUUGACAGUCACAAUAUUCGUCAUCUUCAGGUUUCAUAUAAAUGUGAAUGAAAAACUUUCAAGGAAGUGUUUGCAUUUGUUAAGUAUAGUUAUCUCUAUGACACCAUCAUGAUUUAGUUGAUGGCUAAAGAAUAUCACUAUUUCUUAUUUCUGGGUGGGGGGGGGUAUUCUUGAUUGGAAAUCCAUGGCAGCGAAUGUAACCGUUAACACGAGAAGCACAAGUGACGUCACUGGGGGAACAGAAAACUACUGGUCCUUGAGUUCAACCUCAUUUUCGGAAGAGUUCAUCAUGCUAAAAUAUGACUUUUUUGUGUAGAGUUUUGUGAACUUAUUUGUCUUUUUGCAACUCGUCUUUUUGGCCAUAGCAUUUAUAGUCUGUUUUUGUGGUUUUUGAUUGCAUCUUUAGUGUCUUUAAUCUCCUCUUUUUGGAUAGCAGAUACUGUAAUGAAAGUAGUUUGUUUAUCUUUGAUUACUACUUGUUUGUUUGUUGAGGUCCAGGUCAUGUGGUGUAUUUAGAAUAAGUAAAAAUUGGUUGCAAACUGGCAUAUUCGGAAAUUACAACAUCUUAUUUUUUUAUAUAUAGACCUGCUAUAUAAUGUAGGCGAACCAGGUUGUCACGCGAUUCAGAUAUGGGUCUAUUUAAUAUUAUCUAUAUUUCUGUUCAAUAGACCGAUUAGAAUAUAUAAUCAGAACUUUUAAGGUCAGUCUUGCUCAGGAUGUAAUAGAUUAAAACAGUUAGAAAUAUAUAACAUGCUUAUUCAACUACGGAAUAUAUUGUUCAACAUGUUUACUUACAUAAUAUUGAGACACCAAUAAACGGAUUUAAGCUUAUAUUUAAUAAAAACCAAAGGGAAACUAUACCAGACAAAUGAUCAAGCCUCGUUAUUUUAAAUUGAUUUACCCACGACCCCCCCCCCCCCCCCCCCCCCCCCCCCCCCAACUACAAAGUAUUUACACUUUUUGCUACCCAACAUUUCCCUCAUGGUGUACAUGUAAAUAAGUAACAAAUCCUGACAUUACGUUAUUUGGCACUUUCUCUUCAAAUACAUUAUUGACUUGUACAUUUUCUCCUGUAAAUAUUUAAACACGGUAAGAAAUUAUUAUCAAUUCACAGUUUAAAUACCAUUUUCUUUUUCUGCUGUUCCCUAUCGUUUUUCAUUUGAAUAAGACUUGCAGUUCAAAUUAUUUUUUUUUUGUGUUUUGAGGUUGCCACACACCACAACUCUCGUUAUGAAUAAGCCAAAUUUCCCACUUAGAUAUGGCGAAUUCUAGCUGGACUUCUACAGAGGGAUUAAUGGUUACAAAUUCUCCCAACUAUUGGUUAUUCUUUCCUCGCAAUAUGUUGUGCGGUUUUGCUUUUGCAAGUCAUUUUGCACGGAUUGUUUUUCCCUGAAUUCUACUAAUUAAAUUGAGAAAAGAAAUUUUCAAAAAAGAAAAGAAAGAAAAUGACAUAAAUGAAAUAAAAAUAAGAAAAGAUAUACACACAUGUAUAAAUAGCAGGGAUAUGCUUUAUCAAUUGUACGCUUUCAUUUUGUUACCUUGAACUUGAGAAAUGCAUUCAAACACCUGGUUCUUUUUUCCAAGGUGACAGAGGGAAGUUGUUAGGAACAUGAAUAUAUCUUAGUGCACAUAAAGAGUAUGAUCCCAUAGCGCACAAAAAGUUUGAGUAGAAUACAAUAAUUAAAUGACCAUUCUGACAAAACAUUAUGCUAUACUAGACAUAUUAGAAUCAAUACAUUUACCCUCUAAUUAAUAUUUUUACAAUAUCCUAUUGGAAUUAUUGAUACAAUUUUGUUUAACAAAUAGUAAAAACCAUUAUGUAAAUUAAAUUUGUUCUUCGACCAUUGACGAUUUACGUCAGAGAAAUAAUAAACAUUCACAGAGAGUUUAUAUACGGGUACAAGGAGAAUUCACUAAUGAUAUAUUUCGAUGAUGCAUUUCUAUGUUUAACCGCUCUGUCCUGUAAUCAGACCAAGUUCAUAAUGGUACAUUAUAUUAUUUCCACACCAUUUAUAUUCAUGUACAAAUAUUGCUCUAGAGUAAUUUCUGGCAGAAACUCACUCCCCCCCCCCCCCCCCCCCCCCCCCCCCCCCAUAAUCAUUAUGUGCACUAGACACUCUCUCUCUACUCUUGUCUAAACAAAGCUUUUUCGCACAAAGAAACAUUUUAGAAUGGAGAGAAGAGAAUGUUACAUUUUUUAAGUGAUAUUGCUUUAAAUCCACCAUUUUCUACCUUUGAAAAUGCCUGUACCAAGUCAGGAAUAUGACAGUUCUUGUCCUAUCGUAUUUUAUGCGUUUUGUUAUUUGAUUUUGCCAUGUGAUUAUAGACUUUCCGAAUUGAUUUUCCUCUGAGUUCAGUAUUUUUGUGAUUUUACUUUUUACUUUCUAUUUUUCAAUUCAGGUUAUUUCGAAUUUUUACACAUCUAUGACAAAUACGAUUGUUUUCUACCUCACGCCAUAAAAUUUGAAAUAUGUAUUUUUUUAUGACUGUCUUUCUUGACUUAUACAGGUUCGUGACUGAGUCUCUUCGCCUUAGAACAUGAUGUAUUGUACUUGAUGUUGAAGGAGCAUUUAUGGCUAUAUUAAUAUUUAUGAAAUCAAUAGUAUCGUCAUAAACUACGUAAAACGAUAUAAGUGAAUGAUAACAAAAAAAUGUUAAAAAAGGAGCAAUAGGGUUGCUUCGAUACUGGCAAACAUAUCUUUUUCGGCGUUUCCGGUUUCAUUGUAAUGAAUUGUUUUGUUGAAGACAAAGAUAAAUAAUGCUUAUUCAUCGUAUCCAUUCUUAUCGUAUAUUAAUAAUUUCUGAAUUGUUACAUACAAAUUUUCAAGAGAUCAAUAUUUCAAUGUUUUACAAUCAUAUGAUGUGUGUUACUACGUAGAAAUUUGGCAAGAACAAUAGUUCGGGAAGAAAGGUUCACGAUACCACUGUAAAUUAGUUGUAUGGUGUGCUUUAAUAUUAUAGUAUAAAAUAAUGUGAUUAGAGACUUAUCUGUGUGCAUGCUACAUUUUGAAAACUUAUAUUUCUAUCAUUUACAUUAAAGACUCAUUAAGGUAUUAAAUUCCUGUGGCAAAUUUGACAUUUGACAGCUCUCUAAUAGUGUUCAAUUGUUGUUUUGGGCUUUAAGUUGCUUAAAUAAAAUUCCGUUUCCUUUUUUUUGAGCUUUUGGCCCUUGCCUUGCCUGGCUGAAAUUGGUCUAUAUGACUGUUUUACGGCAACACAAGUGUGUGUGAUUUCAGAUGCUCAUAUUCGUGCUCGGAUAUAACUACGCUGUCUCCACCUUCAAGAGGGCAAUACAACUCACGCAAAUGAGUUUAUAAAUGAUAAGACAGUACAGUUGUAGAUCCAUACAUUUUCAUAAGAGGGGGACCACUGACUGCCCAAGAUAGGGUCCAUUCAUGUCAUGCUUCGGUGCUACCUUAUGAUAUCUCACUCGUUUCAGGUCCUUACUAUGCAUGCACAGGUAAACAGAUCAAUACCAUUAAACUGUUGUUUAAUCUUCGAAAAAUGAUACAUACAUGUAAUUCUACAGAUUAUCAUAUUAUUAUUUUUUUGAUAAUUUUAACUGCAAUGUGAAACAAACUUAACAAAUAAUUUGGUAUCGUGCCAUUUCUAGGAUUAAAGAACAAAUACAUAUUUAAAAAAAAAAAAAGAAAAGAGGGGAAUGAACACUUGAAGAAUGUAACAUCUUUAUAUUGGUAUGAGGAUUACUGCAUACAUAAAUUCAGAUUCAAGAGAUAUAAAGACAAUAUGACAUCUGCGCUCGUUAUUUCUACCAAUCAAUGAUGUUUUCAAAGUACACUUUAAAACCUAGUUGUUGUAUGAACACAACACAAAUUAUAUUAAGACGGUUUAAAUGCGUAAAAUUUUGGUUCAUUUGCAAACACCAGUACAAAUAUGAUAUGAUUGUUAUUUUUGCUUGUAUUUAUCAAACAACUGAGAAAGAUGUUUUUAUAAUAAAUGACCCACUUAAUUAGCAUGUUAACUUUACUUUAAAUAUUACAUAAUGUUUUACUAUGAUGUCGGAUUUUACUUAAAUACAUUUAAUUAUUUAACCAUUUGAAAAUAGCCGAAAUAACGUCACGAUCAUUUAUUUUCUCAUCGCAUUUUUCCAUGAACAAUGAAAUAUUAUAGGAGCACAAAUCUCAUAAAACAUAGUAUAUAAUAAAAACCCAGGGAUAUAAAAUACUUAGAUAGGUUGAAACUCUUAUAGGAUGAAAUAUUCCGUUUGACAUAGGACAACGAGAAUAUGAAUUAUAUGUCUAUUGUUUCUUACGUUUUGAAAAAAAAAAAUACAAUGAAAAAAGAUAAUUGAAUGCAAACUUCAUUGUCAUUGGCGUGUAUAACAAUGUUAAAAUACUUUGAAGUAUCAUCCUAUUACAUGUUUUAGACCUAUAAUAGUUAGUUACGCUGUUACGUUUUAUGCGUGUAUUGACAUAUAGUCUCAUUAAUCAUGUUCUAAAGAAAACAUUAAUGUAACAUCUUAGGUAAACAUUUCCUUUGUUAUGAAUAUUGCUAUAAAACUGUUCUUGAAGGAACUAUUUGUUAUACCCUUUUUCCAUCAGAAACGAACACUGCAAUUUUCCUUCCAUUACAAAUAUUAUUCCAGUGUGUGUCUACCAUUUGGAACUAAUGAUAUCGCAAAGGAACAUCUACGCAUGGCAAACAGAAAGAAACACAAGUCAAAAGUCGAAAAAAUGAAAACAAAAGUGCACAAAUGAAAAUUUUAGUUGAAUUAGACAAAAUUGUAUUUACCAAAUUGAAUUGGUAAUUAUACAAAAUGUCAUCUUUCUCUAAUUUUUCAUUGGGAACUCUUCCAAACUUGAAAAUUGACUUAUUCAUUCCAAUUGUAAGGUUUUAAUUUCAAUUUGUUUUUGGUCAUGCAAUUGUAAAAUAAGAAAUAAUAAUAUUUGCAUUGCUGUGAUAAAUAGUGUUUAUCUAUCAUUUAAGGUUAAACUUUCCCUAACCCCUUAUAACAUGAAAUUGUCCAUAUUUUGAGUUGGGGCUCAUAUAAUUUGUCCUUAAAAUAGUACCUUGCACUGUUAAAAUCUUAUCGAGAUUGUCAAGAGCGAUAUCAUCAGUAGACAAAAGUCUAUGCACUAUGUCAAGUUCUAAAUCGUCUCUUGUCAAUAUCAAAGUUUUCUUGUUCAGGUUUUUGAUGGAGUUUUUUUACAGUGACAACCGUCAAUAGUCUUAUUUCGAAUAAAAUAUCAUCCUAUCUUUCUGAAGACUUGGGUGGAUAUUAAUGAGAAUUCUGACAACCAAUGAUUUGGACAAUAUUUUGGUGAUUUUGGACGAUGUCAUGUUAUUUGAUAUAUCAUGGAUGGUCAGAGAAAACCUUGACCUUGAUUUGGAUAUUGAUCAAGUUAAGUUUGAUAGUGACAGUUGGGCUUUGCAGAGACUAACGAUUAUAUGCCAUAGACACGACUAUUUUAAGUCUAAAAACAAUAAGAUAGUACAUGAAACAUCGUGAACCUCAAUUAAAACGACACAGUUAAUUUUAUUCAUUUAAGAAUACCGUUGAUUUUUUUAUGUUUGAGCGGAGGAAGAAUAGUAUGUUUGAGCUGAAAGGGUAGAUCCAAUUCCUAUAAAUAUUCAUAGAUAUAAGAAGAUUUGGUAUGAGUGCCAAUGAGACAACUCUCCACUCAAGUCACACUUUAUAAAAAUAAACCAUUAUAGCUUAAAAUACGGUCUUCAACACGGACCCUUGGCUCACACUAAACAGCAUACUAUAAAGGGCCCCCAAAAAAUACUAGUGUAAAACCAUUCGAACGGGAAACCCAACCGUCUAAUCUAUAUGUAUUUACAUUUAUUUGUCUUUCUAGACUAACAACUCAGUUUUCUGGUAGGAAUAAUCUUGCGAAAAUCGAAGUUGGAAAUAUAAAACGAAUAUAAAUCAACGAUAAAUGCGUUUUCUGUCAAAUAAAACACGGAACCUUCAUCAGAACCAAUGAAUAGUAACGUUUUCUGUCCCAAUACAAUAUUUGUAAAGCACUUUUCACUAUUUGUAAACUGUUGACAGAAUACAAUGUAUUGAAAGCUUAAAUGUAAAUACAAGUAUAAAACCAUUAAGCAGCUUCUUAUAGUCAUACCAUGUAUCAACACUUUAACUUUGAAGUCAUACAUAAAUUUCUAUUUUUCAGCAACAGUUUGGCUUCAAUGCUUCGUUUUACUAGUCAGAGGUA